UAGUCCACGCCGUAAACGAUGAGAACUAGGUGUUGGGAGAUUUAAUCUCUUAGUACCGUAGCUAACGCGUUAAGUUCUCCGCCUGGGGAGUACGGUCGCAAGACUAAAGCUCAAAGGAAUUGACGGGGGCCCGCACAAGCGGUGGAGCAUGUGGUUUAAUUCGAUGCAACGCGAAGAACCUUACCUACCCUUGAAAUCUUCGGAAACUUUCGUCAUGGAAAGUGUGCCUUCGGGAACCGAAUGACAGGUGCUGCAUGGCUGUCGUCAGCUCGUGUCGUGAGAUGUUGGGUUAAGUCCCUUAACGAGCGCAACCCCUAUCCUUAGUUACCAGCGGUUCGGCCGGGAACUCUAAGGAAACUGCCGGUGAUAAACCGGAGGAAGGUGGGGAUGAGGUCAAGUCAGCAUGGCCCUUAUGGGUAGGGCUACACACGUGCUACAAUGGGCAGUACAGAGGGUCGCAAAACCGUGAGGUGGAGCCAAUCCCAGAAAGCUGCUCUCAGUCCGGAUUGAAGUCUGCAACUCGACUUC
rnacentral:rRNA from 1 species